AUGGGUCAAGGUCCAUCUCUGAGCCAUGAGAAUAGCUCGAUCGAAUAUGCUGCGGGAUCUAGGAAAGGAUCAAACUCAAAAGUUGAAAACGUUCAUUGCACUAUCCUUGAUUUAGAUGGCUCCAGCUCCACAUCAUUCUUCGGUGUUUAUGAUGGCCAUGGAGGAGCUGAUGUAGCAUUGUAUUGCGCUAACAACUUCCAUAGAGUGCUGGUAAACGAUGGAGAUUAUAAGGAUAAUUUGGAUGUGGCACUGAAGCGUGCGUUUACCAGAAUGGACGAGCAACUGGACCAAAAUGAUGACUGGAGGACAUUGGCGAACCCUCCUGGUGUCGGUGUCAAAUUGCUAUGUUUUCCCAGCACUGCCCCUCGUGUCCAGGGAACUCCAUACAUGGAAGGGAGCACAGCAUGCGUGGUUCUCAUUAGAGGAAACCAGAUCAUUCUUGGGAAUGUUGGCGACUCUUGUUGUGUACUCUCAAGGGAUGAUAGUCAGCAGGCAACUGAGUUAUCGACCAAGCACACGCCAGAAAAUCAGGAUGAAAGGAACAGAAUUAAAACUGCUGGAGGGCAACUACUCAACGUAGGUGGCGCUGAUCUUGUUAAUGGGAUACUUCCUUUGACAAGAGCUAUUGGUACCUUCCGUUUCAAGCCACCUUCUGCAGGACAUAUUGUGACAUGUAUUCCAGACAUGCACAUUGCGGACAUCACUCAUGAUACCGAGUAUCUUCUUAUAGCAAAUCGCGCAUUCUGGGAUACCACUCCUAUAUCAAGUGAGAUGGCUGUCAAGUAUUUGAGGCAGUAUUCUGGGAGCUAUAGUGUUGCUAGCAUGUGCGAUAAGCUUCUGAAUCUUUGCCGCAACCCGAUGGACAACUUGACGCUGAUACUGGUUUACUUCAAGCCGAGUGCCAGGCUCCCACGUCCGGCCCCGCCUGCUCCCACCAACUUGCCCGUGCCCGUGGUUGGCUAG
rnacentral:rRNA from 1 species